GGCAUUCGGGUCGAAAGCUCUGUUGUUAGGGAAGAACAUGUAUCGGAGUAACUGCCGGUACCUUGACGGUACCUAACCAGAAAGCCACGGUUAACUACGUGCCAGCAGCCGGGGUAAUACGUAGGUGGAAAGCGUUGUCCGGAAUUAUUGGGCGUAAAGCGUGCGGAGGGGCCUUUUAAGUUUGAUGUGAAAUCUGGCGGCUCAACCGCAGGGGGCUUUUGAAAAUUGGGGGGAUUGGGUGCAGAAGAGAAAAGCGAAUUUCCCCCGUGUGGGGGGGAAAUGCGUAAAAGAUGUGGAGGAAACACCAGUGGGGAAGGGGGGUUUUCUGGGCCUGUAAUUGAACGCUGAGCGGCAAAAGGGGGGGGGGGAAAAAAGAAUAAAAUCCCCGGGAAGCCCCCCCCGAAAACGAGGGGGGCUAAGUUUUAAGGGUUCCCCCCUUUUAGGCCGCACCAAAGGAUUAAGCCCCCCCCCUGGGGAGACGCCCCCAGGGUUAAACUUAAGGAAAUUGCGGGGGCCCCCCAAAGGGGGGGACUUGGGGUUUAAUUCCAAAGAAGGGGAAAAACUUACCGGGUCUGAAUUCUUUUGCCUUCCCUAGAAAGGGGUUUCCCCCUCCGGGAAACAAAUAAAAGGGGGGCCUUGUUCUCGUCCCCCCGGCGGUGAGAGUUGGUAACUCAAAAAGGGAAAACCUUUAUCUAAUUGCAACUCCAUUGGCCCCUCAAGGGGAUGCGGUGAAAACCGGAGAAGGGGGGUGAGCAAACUCUGCCCUUAAGACUGGGUUACACGGGCAAAAGGAGGUACAAGGGUGCGAGCCCCAGUUUACCAAC
rnacentral:rRNA from 1 species